GACUGGCCGGUGAUAAACCGGAGGAAGGCGGGGAUGAACGUCAAGUCCUCAUGGCCCUUACAUCCCGGGCUACACACGUGCUACAAUGGCAGGUACAGAGGGCUGCGAAGCCGCGAGGUGGAGCGAAUCCCAGAAAACCUGUCUCAGUCCGGAUUGAAGUCUGCAACUCGACUUCAUGAAGGCGGAAUCGCUAGUAACCGCGAAUCAGCAGGUCGCGGUGAAUACGUUCCCGGGCCUU
rnacentral:rRNA from 1 species